rnacentral:rRNA from 1 species
GACGAACGCUGGCGGCGUGCUUAACACAUGCAAGUCGAACGGAAAGGCCCUGCUUGCAGGGUACUCGAGUGGCGAACGGGUGAGUAACACGUGGGUGAUCUGCCCUGCACUUCGGGAUAAGCUUGGGAAACUGGGUCUAAUACCGGAUAGGAGCCAUCUUUAGUGUGGUGGUUGGAAAGUUUUUUCGGUGUAGGAUGAGCUCGCGGCCUAUCAGCUUGUUGGUGGGGUAAUGGCCUACCAAGGCGGCGACGGGUAGCCGGCCUGAGAGGGUGUACGGCCACAUUGGGACUGAGAUACGGCCCAGACUCCUACGGGAGGCAGCAAUGGGGAAUAUUGCACAAUGGGCGCAGGCCUGAUGCAGCGACGCCGCGUGGGGGAUGAAGGCCUUCGGGUUGUAAACUCCUGUCGCUAGGGACGAAGCUUUGUUGUGACGGUACCUAGAGAAGAAGCACCGGCUAACUACGUG